rnacentral:misc_RNA from 1 species
GCUGUUGUCGCUGGUGGAGACGUCAUGGAGAGUCCGGAACUAGUGGGAGGAGGAGAGCUAGGAGAGCUCGGCUGAAGGUGAUGGAUGAAUGUUGCUGGAGACGGUGACAACGAGGAAGCUGGAGGUUCACCGAAGCUUAUGGAGCUCAACACCGGAGGUGAUGGAGGUGACGUCGGAGGUUCACCGAGGUUUUGCAUCGAAGAUUGGAGAACUUGGGGAGGCUUGGUUGCG